GACGAACCGUGCGAACGUUAUUCGGAAUCACUGGGCUUAAAGCGCGUGUAGGCGGGGUGGCACGUCGGUCGCUGAAAGCCCCCGGCUCAACCGGGGAAGGGGCGCCGAUACGACCACCCUCGAGGGACGUAGGGGGACCUGGAACUUCCGGUGGAGCGGUGAAAUGCGUUGAGAUCGGAAGGAACGCCCGUGGCGAAAGCGAGGUCCUGGACGUUUUCUGACGCUGAGACGCGAAAGCCAGGGGGAGCGAACGGG
rnacentral:rRNA from 1 species